UUUCAAUUUUAGACUUAUCUAAGUCAGAAAAUGCCAGACUUGUUUAGGUCUAUUUAUGUUGAUGAAAAAACUUAAUUUUACUUGGUGGCCAAAGUACUCCACCUAUGACAGCAAAAACCUGUCUGAGAGUUCACAAGGACUUGAGCUAUCUAUAUUUAAUUAUCUAAUUGAACAUCCUUACUAAACACAGAUGUUUUACCUCAUUAAGUGUGGUUCCAGGUGGUUGCAUUGUAGGGUUAAUUAACAUUAUCUCCGAUUUUUUAGACUCUCAUUCAUAUUUUUCUUUAGAAGAAAAAGAAUUGUCUUUUAAUGUUGUCAUUAUUUGAUUAAGAUGCAUGACCUUAUAAAAUAUGCGUGGGUCUUGAAGUUGACCAAUUUUGGUAACUUAUUGACUUGUCAUUCUUGUAGGAGUCAAUAUUUGCAAUUUUUUU
rnacentral:lncRNA from 1 species